rnacentral:siRNA from 1 species
GUAAAGCAGAAGAAGGUGUUUAA